rnacentral:rRNA from 1 species
AUUGAACGCUGGCGGCAGGCCUAACACAUGCAAGUCGAACGAGUGGCGGACGGGUGAGUAAUGUCUGGGAAACUGCCCGAUGGAGGGGGCUAACUACUGGAAACGGUCGCUAAUACCGCAUACCAUCGGAUGUGCCCAGAUGGGAUUAGCUAGUAGGUGGGGUAAUGGCUCACCUAGGCGACGAUCCCUAGCUGGUCUGAGAGGAUGACCAGCGAAACUGGAACUGAUACACGGGCCAGACUCCUACAGGAGGCAGCAGGGGGGAAGAGUGCACAAUGGGCGGAAGCCUGAUGCAGCCAUGCCGCGUGUAUGAAGAAGGCGUUAGGGUUGUAAAGUACUUGCAGAGAGGAGGCGUUACUCGCAGAAGAAGCACCGGCUAACUCCGUGACAGCAGCCGCGGUAAUUC